UACGAAGGGUGCUAGCGUUGUUCGGAAUUACUGGGCGUAAAGGGCGCGUAGGCGGUUUGACAAGUUGGAUGUGAAAGCCCGGGGCUUAACCCCGGAAUUGCAUUCAAGACUGUCUUACUUGAAUUCGGUAGAGGUUGGUGGAAUUCCCAGUGUAGAGGUGAAAUUCGUAGAGAUUGGGAAGAACACCCGUGGCGAAGGCGGCCAACUGGACCGACAUUGACGCUGAGGCGCGAAAGCGUGGGGAUCAAACAGG
rnacentral:rRNA from 1 species